AUAUCAAUAAGCGGAGGAAAAGAAACCAACAGGGAUUGCCUCAGUAACGGCGAGUGAAGCGGCAAGAGCUCAACUUUGGAAUCGCUCCGGCGAGUUGUAGUCUGGAGGCGGCCGGUCCGCCUUGCGCAACCACAUCUAAGUCCUCUGGAACGAGGCGCUUGAAAGGGUGACAGCCCCGUGGAUGUGUGUUGUGCUUGGCCCCUGGUCUGCCGACGAGUCGAGUUGUUUGGGAAUGCAGCUCUAAGUGGGUGGUAAAUUCCAUCUAAAGCUAAAUACCGGCGAGAGACCGAUAGCGAACAAGUACAGUAAUGGAAAGAUGAAAAGCACUUUGAAAAGAGAGUGAAACAGUACGUGAAAUUGUUGAAAGGGAAGGGCUUGCAGGUAGACUGUCAGCAUCGGGUGCAGCGGAACUACAAGUGGGAGCUGAUGUAGCAACCUCCGGGUUGCAUUAUACAACUCUCAGAUGGUUCCUGCCGCGCCCGAGGAUCGCCUUUGAAGGAUGCUGGCGCAAUGGCUGCAAGCCACCCGUCUUGAAACAC
rnacentral:rRNA from 1 species